rnacentral:rRNA from 1 species
CUACGGGGUGCUCCAGUGGGGAAUAUUGCACAAUGGAGGGAACUCUGAUGCAGCAACGCCGCGUGGAGGAUGACACUUUUCGGAGCGUAAACUCCUUUUAUAUAGGAAGAAGAUGACGGUACUAUAUGAAUAAGCGCCGGCUAACUCCGUGCCAGCAGCCGCGGUAAUACGGAGGGCGCAAGCGUUACGCGGAAUCACUGGGCGUAAAGAGCGUGGAGGCGGAUUAAAAAGUCAGAAGUGAAAUCCUAUAGCUUAACUAUAGAACUGCUUCUGAAACUCUUAAUCUAGAAUAUGGGAGAGGUAGAUGGAAUUUCUGGUGUAGGGGUAAAAUCCGUAGAGAUCAGAAGGAAUACCGAUUGCGAAGGCGAUCUACUAGAACAUUAUUGACGCUGAGACGCGAAAGCGUGGGGAGCAAACAGGAUUAGAUACCCCUGUAGUC